UUCCGUAGGUGAACCUGCGGAGGGAUCAUUACACAAAUAUGAAGGCGGGCUGGAACCUCUCGGGGUUACAGCCUUGCUGAAUUAUUCACCCUUGUCUUUUGCGUACUUCUUGUUUCCUUGGUGGGUUCGCCCACCACUAGGACAAACAUAAACCUUUUGUAAUUGCAAUCAGCGUCAGUAACAAAUUAAUAAUUACAACUUUCAACAACGGAUCUCUUGGUUCUGGCAUCGAUGAAGAACGCAGCGAAAUGCGAUAAGUAGUGUGAAUUGCAGAAUUCAGUGAAUCAUCGAAUCUUUGAACGCACAUUGCGCCCUUUGGUAUUCCAAAGGGCAUGCCUGUUCGAGCGUCAUUUGUACCCUCAAGCUUUGCUUGGUGUUGGGCGUCUUGUCUCUAGCUUUGCUGGAGACUCGCCUUAAAGUAAUUGGCAGCCGGCCUACUGGUUUCGGAGCGCAGCACAAGUCGCACUCUCUAUCAGCAAAGGUCUAGCAUCCAUUAAGCCUUUUUUUCAACUUUUGACCUCGGAUCAGGUAGGGAUACCCGCUGAACUUAAGCAUAUCAAUAAGCGGAGGAA
rnacentral:rRNA from 4 species